rnacentral:rRNA from 1 species
GGAUGCAAUCGCCUGGUAAUAAACUCCGAUAAUAUGGAAGUCAUUGACAUAAUGAAGAAUGGAGGACAAUCUACGGGAGCGGCGGCAGCAGUUUUAGAUGAUUGCUCUUUCUUGGCUUGUGACUUUUCACUUUCUAGUUUUGAACACUGUAAUAAGGAAGCCAAUAGAGUUGCUCAUGAACUAGCUAGGUUAGCGAGAGUUUUCGAGACAAACGAGUGGAUUGAGGAGCCUAUGAGCGAUAUUGUAUCUUUUCUUAUAAACAAUGUAAUCGUUAUUUCCAAUUAA